rnacentral:rRNA from 1 species
AUUGAACGCUGGCGGCAGGCCUAACACAUGCAAGUCGAGCGGAGCGGCGGACGGGUGAGUAAUGCCUAGGAAUCUGCCUGGUCGUGGGGGAUAACGUCCGGAAACGGGCGCUAAUCCCGCAUACUAUCAGAUGAGCCUAGGUCGGAUUGGCUAUUUGGUGGGGUAAAGGCCUACAAAGGCGAGGAUCCGUAACGGGUCUGAGAGGAUGAUCAGUCAAACGGGAACUGAGACACGGUCCGGACUCCUACGGGAGGAAGCAGUGGGGAAUAUUGCACAAGGGGGGCAAGCCUGAUGAAGCCAUGCCGGGUGGAGGAAGAAGGCCUUCGGGUUGUAAAGUACGUUCAGCGGGGAGGCGUUACCCGCAGAAGAAGCACCGGCUAACUCCGUGCCAGCAGCCGCGGUAAUUC